rnacentral:rRNA from 1 species
AGCUCCGAUAGCGUAUAUUAAAGUUGUUGCAGUUAAAAAGCUCGUAGUUGGAUUUGUGGUUGGAGCAGUCAGUUCAACACACAGUGUUGGUACUUGAUUGCUCUGUCCAUCCUUGGGUGGAAUCUGUGUGGCAUUAAGUUGUCGUGCAGGGGAUGCCCAUCAUUUACUGUGAAAAAAUUAGAGUGUUCAAAGCAGGCUUAUGCCGUUGAAUAUAUUAGCAUGGAAUAAUGAGAUAGGACUUUGGUACUAUUUUGUCGGUUUGCGCACCAAGGUAAUGAUUAAUAGGGACAGUUGGGGGUAUUCGUAUUCCAUUGUCAGAGGUGAAAUUCUUGGAUUUCUGGAAGACGAACUACUGCGAAAGCAUUUACCAAGGAUGUUU